CCACUCUCUUCCAUCAUCAUCGAUUACUUCCAUCUUUGUUGCUAGGAUGGAUUUUCAAGAAAUUCAGUCUAGUUUAAAUCUAAUUUUUUGCCUCUUUGCUCUGUGAAGAUAUAUGUUGUGGAAUAUAGGUAUUAGAUAUUGUUGAUUUGGAACUUUGAAAGUUCACUAGGGAUUCGGAAAAUAUUAGUGGCUUCCCAUGGUGGGUUGGAGAUAUUGGGGGAGGAUGGCAAAGAGAGUGGAGGAUUGAUGAGGAUGAGGUGUGGGGAAUCGAUGGUGGCAAAGAGAUAGUGGUUUCUAAUAGCCUUGAAAAUUUAUCUGUUGCUUCACCAAUUGAAACCACCCAUCUCUUGCUAACAAUGGUUCUACAGGGAAAGUUCUAUCGAAAUUAAGCUAG
rnacentral:lncRNA from 1 species